rnacentral:lncRNA from 1 species
AUGUACGAGUUGAAACACAACAAAGAAGGAAAGCAGAAAAGGAAGAGAAGCAGAAGACAGGAAAACAAAGGGAAAGGGAAAGGGGAACACAGAAGAAGAGGUGCAUUAACCGGAAAUAAACGAGAAGACUUUUCAAUGGCACCCAGAGUGGAACCGAACAUAACCUCUUUGAAUCAUCUGCUACAUUGUGCUGUCACACAAGUACCCUGGGACCCCACGUCUGUGCAGGAAGCUCUGCUGGUUUACAGCCCCAGUCCGGAAGUUCACACUCAUUCCUGGCGCCUGCUGAAUCCUUCUGUCUCCCAACAAUCUGCUUUCUCCCUCCAUGGAGAAACUAGAUAAGCGAUUCAACCAGACGUGAACUUAAAAUAAAAUAUCAACAGGAGUUUGAUGGCUUCCUUUCUUUGAUCCAACUAGACAUGAACUUUUCAUAAGUAUCAAAAGUUUGAUGGUAUUACUUUAAAAAAAAUAUCUACAGCUUAGGGGAGGGGAAGUUUUGUGCUUGCUUUUUGAUUUCUGACUGCAUUCUAGAGUUUGUACUGUAUGUCAACAAUGUGGACCAGUGUGCUUUUAUCAUUCCCUAUUCUGCACAUCAUCAUAUUUUAUAGAAUGAGCAUCUCAUAAAACUUUAUCUGUUUAUCUCACACAGUACUAAAUCAUAUAUAGAAAGCAAACAAAGCCACACUCUGUAAAUGCCUCAUUUUUGCUAUUAUUUUCUGGUUGUCAAUUUCCUAUGUCUGCUUAGAGUUUAUAGGUUUUGGUGGAAGCAAUAGUAAUUUUUGCUGAGGUGGGUUUAGAAGAGAUAAAGCUUGCAAUUAAUACUAUUUUACAAAAUAAUAACAUUUACUGAGCAUGUAUUAUAACACUUUCCUUGGAACUUUUUUUGUGGGGGUAGAGGGAAUUGAACUCAGGGCUUUGUGCUUGCCAGGCAGGCACUAAGCCACUGAGCUACACCCCCGUCCCUCUCCUGGGAACUUUUAUAGAGAUUGCUUAUUUGGGAGAACUUUAUCUAAAAUAUACUUUUCUAAAGUAUUUGCCACUUUCAAAAAGACAGUAUUAGAAAACCAGACUGAUAUUAUUUUUAAGCUUAUAAAACUAGCUUACAGUUCAUGAUAGUCUAAGAAAUUAAUGAAAUAACCAUUCUACAUGUCAAAUUAACUAGAAAUCUUGAAUUAACUAGAAAUUCAAAGAAGUCAAUUCCAAGGACUUAAAUUAUAGGAUAGUGUCUAUGGCAACAACCACUUUUUGAGUUGAUUGUCUUACUUCUAAAGCAUCAUAACCAUAGAGGAUCUGUAAUUAUUUGUAAGCCGGGCUAUAAACUGAACAGCAUAAAUAUUAAAUUACUC